rnacentral:sRNA from 1 species
AUCGCAUCCAAGAGCUCGCGUCGCCUAA